CGAAAAGAACCCCGGCGAGGGGAGUGAAAAAGAACCUGAAACCGUGUACGUACAAGCAGUGGGAGCACGCUUAGGCGUGUGACUGCGUACCUUUUGUAUAAUGGGUCAGCGACUUAUAUUCUGUAGCAAGGUUAACCGAAUAGGGGAGCCGAAGGGAAACCGAGUCUUAACUGGGCGUUAAGUUGCAGGGUAUAGACCCGAAACCCGGUGAUCUAGCCAUGGGCAGGUUGAAGGUUGGGUAACACUAACUGGAGGACCGAACCGACUAAUGUUGAAAAAUUAGCGGAUGACUUGUGGCUGGGGGUGAAAGGCCAAUCAAACCGGGAGAUAGCUGGUUCUCCCCGAAAGCUAUUUAGGUAGCGCCUCGUGAAUUCAUCUCCGGGGGUAGAGCACUGUUUCGGCAAGGGGGUCAUCCCGACUUACCAACCCGAUGCAAACUGCGAAUACCGGAGAAUGUUAUCACGGGAGACACACGGCGGGUGCUAACGUCCGUCGUGAAGAGGGAAACAACCCAGACCGCCAGCUAAGGUCCCAAAGUCAUGGUUAAGUGGGAAACGAUGUGGGAAGGCCCAGACAGCCAGGAUGUUGGCUUAGAAGCAGCCAUCAUUUAAAGAAAGCGUAAUAGCUCACUGGUCGAGUCGGCCUGCGCGGAAGAUGUAACGGGGCUAAACCAUG
rnacentral:rRNA from 1 species